UGGAUUGUACCCAAAAAUACUUUGCGUUCAUCAAAGAAGCUGGUGUCCUGGUUUGCAAUGCCUCGAUGGUUACACCAGAAGGUGCGAGUCACAUCCAAAACAAAGGGCAUGCGUUAGUAUGGCUUCAACUGAACAGAAGUUAGCAGGUUGUGAGUCUCUGUGGCGCAAUCGGUCAGCGCGCUCGGCUGUUAACCGGGAGGCUGGUGGUUCGAGCCCACCCAGGGACGUUCUCUGGAUGCAUCAGUGUCACUGUUUAUUCAUGUUUGCGCUCCUCUCUUGCACAGCACUUGUGUGGUUCCCAAUUGGCAAACUCUGUGUCAAGGCUCCCUACAAAGAGCCUUGUGCAUUUGGACAUUUGCAGGUUUAAGAAAAAGAGACCACUUUAGCCAAAUAUCUUCUGGACAAAAGAGUGGUCAGACAAGACAAAGUUUGAGCCAGUCACCUGAACAUUAGACUUUUGAUCUGAGUGUCCGGGAUUCAAGUCCCUGUUCAGGUGACCAGUGAUAGGGUCUGAGGUCCACUUGCAAACGCCUCCUUUUUGCCCACAAAAUACAAGGGCAACAGGACAAUCCCUUCAACAAUCUUGUAGCAGCAUACAGCAUGCUGAAUGUAGCAGCAUAGGAGUAUAUCCAUAUCUCCCUAUGCAGCGUGUACCGUUAAACAGACCUCACUGCUGGCCAAUCAUUGUGUAGGUGGAGAGUAUUUAAGCAGCGCUCCUCUCACUGCUUCUUCCGUUGCACUUCCGUCUGUGUACUUCCGGGUCAAGUGUUCGACUGAGACAGAGUGAUCGGUGUGCUGCUAGGGCAUACGUGUCUUUCGGCGUCCUAUUGUGGUGAGACGCCCGUAGCCGCCUGGGUUUAGUCCCUCCCUCGCUCCUCUCACGCCUGUGUCUGCUUAGAAGGUGUAAUCUGCCUGAAUGCCAGCUAACACUGCCGCCGCAUGUGAUGUCAUCGCCAGCCGUCUGAGAACGCCGCUGCUUUGUCGCCGCUGCUUUGUCGCCGCUGCUUUGUCGCCGCUGCUUUGUCUCCGCUCUUUGUCUCCGCUCUUUGUCUCCGCUGUUCUGUCUCUGUGGUUGCUUCCGCUGCUUCGUCUGCGCUGUCGCUGCUUGCCUUGACUGACUGCUCUCCCGCUGCUGUGCUACGGCUUGCUACUGGCCUGUUCUGCUACUGCUCGGUCUUGUGGCUUCACCUAGCUGGGAGCUUAGCGCUGGUAGCCUCUGUCUGCGCUCUGGACUGCUCUGCCUGCUGUGAUCAGCCCGCGGGCGGGACUGUGACUGACUUGCCAGGCCGCUCGGCCUCUCCUGACAGACAGACACUACGUGCAAUUCUUCUUAUUAUUUUAGAGUUCCGCUUCUAUUGUGUGUGUUUUAGUGGUGGGGUUGUAGAUCCCUUUUUGUUUAGUUACAAUUGCAUAGGUUUUUCUUUUGCUUUUGUUUACAUUAUUUCUAUAGGUUUACCUUUUUGUUUUAGGAUUAUUUUGACUUAGUUAUAUUUUCUAGCCUAGUUGCUUUAUUUGAUUUUGGGAAUUGGGUGGGUUUUCCUUGAGUAGUUCCUCCUUUUGUUUAUCAUAUGUUGUUUUGCUUGUUUAAUUUGUGUGUUUAGUGGAUCAACCUUCAAUUUAGUUAGUAUCAUUUUGUUAUUUUUGUUUAAUUGCUUUAUUAUUUUGUUUUUGACCCAACUAAUUGUUUUAUUCCCUUUUCAGUUGCUGAGGAUCGGUGGUGGUCUGGGUGGCGGGAUCCCCUCCUUCUGUGUGCAGUGCUCCUCUGGGAUUUGGUUUUCUUUGCACAUCCCUGUGUGUGCCACGUGUGACUGGGUGCUUUUUGGGUAGAUCCCUCCCCCCUUCACUAGCCCAUUGUCCACCUGGUAAGCCUCAGCACCUGAUUAGGUUUCCCUCUUCCCCUUCUUGUG